rnacentral:rRNA from 1 species
AGUCACUGACAUUAGAUACCCGUGUAGUCCAGGGUGUAAACGCUGCAGACUUGGUGUUGGAAGCCCUUUGGGGGCAUUCAGUGCCGGAGAGAAGUUGUUAAGUCUGCUACUUGGGGAGUACGUCCGCAAGGAUGAAACUUAAGGAAUUGGCGGGGAGCACCGCAACGGGAGGAGCGUGCGGUUUAAUUGGAUUCAACACCGUAAACUCACCAGGGAAGACUGUUACAUGGAGGCCGAGAUGAAGACUCUGCUAGAUUUUCAG